AGCGAACGCUGGCGGCAGGCCUAACACAUGCAAGUCGAACGAACUCUUCGGAGUUAGUGGCGGACGGGUGAGUAACACGUGGGAACGUGCCUUUAGGUUCGGAAUAACUCAGGGAAACUUGUGCUAAUACCGAAUGUGCCCUUCGGGGGAAAGAUUUAUCGCCUUUAGAGCGGCCCGCGUCUGAUUAGCUAGUUGGUGAGGUAAAGGCUCACCAAGGCGACGAUCAGUAGCUGGUCUGAGAGGAUGAUCAGCCACAUUGGGACUGAGACACGGCCCAAACUCCUACGGGAGGCAGCAGUGGGGAAUCUUGCGCAAUGGGCGAAAGCCUGACGCAGCCAUGCCGCGUGAAUGAUGAAGGUCUUAGGAUUGUAAAAUUCUUUCACCAGGGACGAUAAUGACGGUACCCGGAGAAGAAGCCCCGGCUAACUUCGUGCCAGCCGCCGCCGUAAAAC
rnacentral:rRNA from 1 species